UGGGGAAUUUUGGACAAUGGGCGAAAGCCUGAUCCAGCAAUGCCGCGUGUGUGAAGAAGGCCUUCGGGUUGUAAAGCACUUUUGUCCGGAAAGAAAUCCUUGGCUCUAAUACAGUCGGGGGGAUGACGGUACCGGAAGAAUAAGCACCGGCUAACUACGUGCCAGCAGCCGCGGUAAUACGUAGGGUGCAAGCGUUAAUCGGAAUUACUGGGCGUAAAGCGUGCGCAGGCGGUUUGCUAAGACCGAUGUGAAAUCCCCGGGCUCAACCUGGGAACUGCAUUGGUGACUGGCAGGCUAGAGUAUGGCAGAGGGGGGUAGAAUUCCACGUGUAGCAGUGAAAUGCGUAGAGAUGUGGAGGAAUACCGAUGGCGAAGGCAGCCCCCUGGGCCAAUACUGACGCUCAUGCACGAAAGCGUGGGGAGCAAACAGGAUUAGAUACCCUGGUAGUCCACGCCCUAAACGAUGUCACUAGUUGUUGGGGAUUCAUUUCCUAGUAACGUAGCUAACGCGUGAAGUUGACCGCCUGGGGAGUACGGUCGCAAGAUU
rnacentral:rRNA from 1 species